GAUGAACGCUGGCGGCGUGCCUAAUACAUGCCAGUCGAGCGAACAGACGAGGCGCUUGCUCCUCUGACGUUAGCGGCGGACGGGUGAGUAACACGUGGCUAACCUACCUAUAAGACUGGGAUCACUUCGGGAACCCGGAGCUAAUACCGGAUAAUAUAUUGAACCGCAUGGUUCAAUAGUGAAAGACGGUUUUGCUGUCACUUAUAGAUGGAUCCGCGCCGCAUUAGCUAGUUGGUAAGGUAACGGCUUACCAAGGCAACGAUGCGUAGCCGACCUGAGAGGGUGAUCGGCCACACUGGAACUGAGACACGGUCCAGACUCCUACGGGAGGCAGCAGUAGGGAAUCUUCCGCAAUGGGCGAAAGCUUGACGGAGCAACGCCGCGUGAGUGAUGAAGGUCUUCGGAUCGUAAAACUCUGUUAUUAGGGAAGAACAAAUGUGUAAGUAACUAUGCACGUCUUGACGGUACCUAAUCAGAAAGCCACGGCUAACUACGUG
rnacentral:rRNA from 1 species